rnacentral:lncRNA from 1 species
AUUUUAAAUUAUCUUGACUUGGUGUGCCUUAUUAGUUUCCAUCUAGAGUUUUGUCAUAGGGAUGUUUUUAUUUCAGCUCUCUAAAAAUGUCCCUAGGCCUGAAAAGACCCCACAGUUCAUUUUUGGUUGCCAGGGAAACUGCCUGGAUUUGCAUCGACUUUCGCUGAUUCCUGAGGGCAAUCCUUGACAGAUGUGAGGGCCCAAAAGGGUACCGGCCUCCAAAGGCUACCUCCUUGACAGCAUCAGCCCUCAUUCCAUUUCCAGGGGACCAUCCCGUUGUAAUUCACAUUCAAGCUGCUUCUGGUGGAUCUUCCUGGACCUCCGCUAUGGCCUGGAGUGAGAUGUAGCUCAGUACAACCAGUCAGAACAUCACAGGUUUCUCCCUACGGGAAAGAAGAGAAAACUAUUCUCUGAAAGGAAAUGGAGCCCAGAUCUGGAGUAAUGCAAAACCCCAGAGACAUAUCCAAGAUGGUAAUGUUCUGAGACAUGGUUUGCCAUGUUUCCUAGGCUGGUCUUGAAGUCCAACCUGGAGUUUAAUUUAUUUCUUCUGUGAACUUUUUGAAGUCCCUUCAAACAUAGCCUCACGAACAUAAUAUGGAGUAAGGAAUGUAGUGACAGGAUUGAUGGUUGAAUUUCCUGGGAUAAAUAGUGUAGAGAUGAAUGAAGAGAAAAUUACAUCUUGGAUCAAUUAAGUUCUCCUGGGCAUAUACUUAGGAGUGGAAUGGCUGGUCACAUAAUAACUAUGUGCAAUCUUUGAGAAACUGCUGGACUGACUUCCUACACUAUUUGAUAUUCCUACCAGCAAUGUAUUUCAUGGAGAGUAGAGAUUCCAUUAACAAUGUGGAGAAGAGAGAAGUAGAGUGAUUGCAGAGCAAGAAAAACAAACCAUUGUCUGGGAGUAUAAGUCUGGGUUUCACUUGAGUAGGGCCACCUUCCUAUUAUGUUAUUUUUUGCCUAUCAAAUGGUAAGCUUCACAUGAAAGCAGAGAUAGUCACAAUCUUGUUUAAGCCGGUCCACGAUGUCUAACACAUAGAAGGAUCCAAUUUCUUAAACUGAGUGAGUGAAUGAAUGGAUGGAAUAAUCAGUUAUUUUCCCAGGCAUUCAGGUGUAUGUAUCUGCUGGGAAGCUUGGAAAGCUGAUUAAGCAGUUGGACAGUGGUUGGAACUGGGGUAUCAACCGGGAAGUCACCCACUUGGUGACUUGCUGAAGGAGGCGAUGAAGAUCUUUGAGUAAUGAAGUAUAGUUGAGGGAAAAAAAAAGCAUGUUUAAGAAGUGAAGAGGUGUGCUUUCAUAGGGAGAGAGAAGGAGGAGAUAAUCUGGUGAAGGAAAUAGAAGAGGAGUGGGCAGAAAGAGAAGAUGAAAACUAGAAUAAAGCUGUGCUAAGGGAUGAACAAGACUUUCAAAAUGGGAAUUGCUCUCAGGCUGGAGAUGAUUUAAUUAGGAUGAGAAAUGAAGACAGGCUCCUGAGUUUUGAUAAUUAGGUAUCUCUAGUGAUCUUUGGUGACAAGGUUUCAGAAGAAAAUGACGUUGCAGGGGAUUAAAGAGGACAAACGUAGUAAAACGAGGAAGGGAAUUAAUAAGUGAUAGGACUAGAAGAUGUAUCAUAGGAGCCUGAUGAAAGAUGGAGUUUUAAAGAUAAAUGAAUCCUGAGCCUAUUUGCUGGCAGAAAGGAAGAAGCACUCAGUACAGAAGGAAAAUUUAUUUAAAGAUUCUAUUGGCAGCAGUCCUUUGUUGAGAGUAUGUCUGACUGGGAUAGGUAACUUCAAUUUGGAAACAGUUUGAAACUUCCAACUAAAAUGUGACAUUUGGAAAUAGUUUUUCACAGUCAAAGGUGUUUAAAGUUACCAGUGUCAAGCCAGAUCUACCAAAAACUGAAUCUACAUUUUAGAAUAAGUAUAAAGUAUUUUAUGAACAUUAAAAAUUUCUUCAUCAGAUGAGUACACCAGGGAUAAACACAUUUGAUUAUUUUAUGAACUUACUAUCUACACCUAAAAUUUCUGCCCAAUAUUGUCUUCAAUUUUUCUUGGAUGAAUUUGUGAUAUCUUUGAACUUACCACUUUAUCAAGUAAUCAAAACCAUACAAUAUUACAAAUAAGACAAGGGCAGUUAACCUGAUCAUCUCCCUUUACUUUGAUUCCCCCAAUAUCUAGUACAAUGAAUGAAUGCAUGAUGAAUUAAUGAAAUUUUGUAAAAUAACCAUCAUUGAUGUCAAGAUUUUAUAGGUAGAGUUUACAGUGUAAAUAUCUAACUAUAUUUCUGAUUUGAGCACAAACCAUGAGAUAAAGAAUAAAAAUUUUAUUUUCUCCAAUUUUAAUUAAAAUAAAAAUUUUAAAGUAAGCAUUUUACAAGUUCUUAUAAAUGGAAAGUAAUUAAAUUGUAAGAAUGCCUUGGCAAGCCUUAAAGAGGAAGGAAUGGAUGGAGCUUGAAGACAUUAUGCUAAUGAAACAAGCAACACAGAAUUGGACAAAUGCUGUGUGAUUCCACUUAUAUUAGAGACCUAGUCAAAUUCAUAGAGACAAAAAGUAGAAUGGUGGUAGCCAGGGACUGGGAGGAGGGAAAAUGGGGAGUUUUUAAAAGGAUAUAAAGUUUAGCUUUGCAAGAUAAAAAAUUCUGUAGAUCAGUUGCGCAACAAUCUAAAUAUACUUAACACUACUGAACAGUACAAUUACAAAUGAUUAAGAUGGUAAAUUUUGUUCUAUGUCUUUUUUUACUACAAUUAAAGAUAAUAAAAAUUGAGUCUGUGAAUGUUUUAGUAGAUCAACCAAGUUUAUCAGUAAUAUCAUAACUACUGUCAACUAUAUUGUUGCUAGAAAGUUACAGAAUUCUUACUCUAUUCUACGACAAGCUGCUUUACAAAUCUGGCUGCAACCUUCAGCUCUGAGUCCCUGCUACAGCAAGAGUAAACAAAGUCUUCCCUUUCCGUCUGGAGCCAUUGGGCUAAUUAUCUCUAAUUGCUUGGACUACUGCAAAUUUCGUGCAUAAAAUAUGAUUCAUUUCUCAUUUUUUCUCUUAUAAAUUUAUAAUGUUGUUACAAUGAGUUGUCAUGAUUUUAAAAAGAAUUCCUAUUUUAUAGAUUUUUGUAGUUAAGGAAGGAAUUUGUUCUGCCUCUUUUAAGAACACUUUCGUAUCACACUGCCUCCUUUUAAAAGAAGUAUGUAAUUUCUUAUUUCUAAAGUUAAAUGAGCUCAGUUCAGAAAAGAAGAAAGUAUUAUGCAUAAUGCACCUAAUACCGCUUUUUGUUUAUCCUUACUGUUCUUUUAUUGAUGCAUAGAUUUUUUAAAAACUCUGUAUUCUAGAGCUAACCUGCUUUUUUUCUAGUAAAAAUUAUUGUGCAUCCUUAUACAUAACAUUGCAUUGAAAAUGCUGUUUGCUAAAUCACAGCACCCAGCCUUGAAAUUUCCUUAGUAUAUAUUCCCAUAAGUGAAAUUAUUGUGCUAAAUAAUUUGAAUGUUUUCAGAGUUUAACCAUAAAUUGGCAAAUUAUCUUGCUCUUUAGAACCUUAUUAUGAAAGUGCUUAUCUUAUAGUUUUGCUAAGACUGUGUACAAGUGCUAUUUUCAAUAUUGUAGAAGUUGAUGAUCAGCUUAUCCAUAUUGUAUCAUUGAUUUAAUGUGAUUUACUUGAUUACUAGAGAAAAGGGAUAAAUUUUAAAA